GAUUCGGGCCAGACUCCUACGGGAGGCAGCAGUAGGGAAUAUUGGUCAAUGGGUGAGAGCCUGAACCAGCCAUGCCGCGUGCAGGAAGAAGGCCUUCUGGGUUGUAAACUGCUUUUGCCAGGGGAUAAAAUUUCCUUGCGAGGAAAAUUGAAGGUACCUGGUGAAUAAGCCACGGCUAACUACGUGCCAGCAGCCGCGGUAAUACGUAGGUGGCAAGCGUUGUCCGGAUUUAUUGGGUUUAAAGGGUGCGUAGGCGGUCCAUUAAGUCAGUUGUGAAAUACGGCAGCUUAACUGUCGAGGUGCAAUUGAUACUGGAGGACUUGAGUACAGACGAGGUAGGCGGAAUUGACGGUGUAGCGGUGAAAUGCAUAGAUAUCGUCAAGAACACCGAUAGCGAAGGCAGCUUACUAGACUGUAACUGACGCUGAGGCACGAAAGUGUGGGGAUCAAACAGGAUUAGAUACCCUGGUAGUCCACACUGUAAACGAUGAUUACUCGAUGUUGGCGAUACACAGCCAGCGUCUUAGCAAAAGCGAUAAGUAAUCCACCUGGGGAGUACGCCCGCAAGGGUGAAACUCAAAGGAAUUGACGG
rnacentral:rRNA from 1 species